GAGUUUGAUCCUGGCUCAGAACGAACGCUGGCGGCGCGCCUAACACAUGCAAGUCGAGCGAUUAAACUUCCUUCGGGAAGAUAUAAAGCGGCGGACGGGUGAGUAAGGCAUAGAUAACCUGCCUCGAAGAGGGGGAUAGCCUGGGGAAACUCGGGUUAAUACCGCGUAAGCUCUUUCGGUGAAUACGAAUGAGUAAAGGCUUCGGCCGCUUUGAGAUGGGUCUAUGUAUGAUUAGCUAGUUGGAGAGGUAAUGGCUCCCCAAGGCUUCGAUCAUUAACUGGUCUGAGAGGAUGAUCAGUCACACUGGAACUGAGACACGGUCCAGACUCCUACGGGAGGCAGCAGUGAGGGAUUUUGCGCAAUGGGCGAAAGCCUGACGCAGCGACGCCGCGUGGAGGAUGAAGUCUUUCGAGAUGUAAACUUCUGUCAGUAGGGAUGAUAAUGACAGUACCUACAGAGGAAGCACCGGCUAACUCCGUGCCAGCAGCCGCGGUAAUACGGAGGGUGCAAGCGUUGUUCGGAAUUACUGGGCGUAAAGCGUACGUAGGCGGCGAGUUAAGUCGAAUGUUAAAGCCCGGGGCUCAACCCCGUGGAUGCCUUCGAUACUGGCUUGCUAGAGGGUGAUAGAGGAAAGUGGAAUUCCGAGUGUAGCGGUGAAAUGCGUAGAUAUUCGGAGGAACAUCAGUAGCGAAGGCGACUUUCUGGGUCACACCUGACGCUGAGGUACGAAAGCGUGGGUAGCAAACAGGAUUAGAUACCCUGGUAGUCCACGCCGUAAACGAUGGAUGCUAGGUGUAGCGGGUAUCAACCCCUGCUGUGCCGAAGUUAACGCGAUAAGCAUCCCGCCUGGGGAGUACGUUCGCAAGAAUGAAACUCAAGGAAUUGACGGGGGCCCGCACAAGCGGUGGAGGAUUGUUG
rnacentral:rRNA from 1 species